rnacentral:rRNA from 1 species
CCUACGGUGUGCAGCAGUCGAGAAUCAUUCACAAUGGGGGAAACCCUGAUGGUGCGACGCCGCGUGGGGGAAUGAAGGUCUUCGGAUUGUAAACCCCUGUCAUGUGGGAGCAAAUUAAAAAGAUAGUACCACAAGAGGAAGAGACGGCUAACUCUGUGCCAGCAGUCGUGGUAAUACAGAGGGCUCAAGCGUUGUUCGGAAUCACUGGGCGUAAAGUGUGCGUAGGCUGUUUCGUAAGUCGUGUGUGAAAGGCGCGGGCUCAACCCGCGAACGGCACAUGAUACUGCGAGACUAGAGUAAUGGAGAGGAAAGCGGAAUUCUCGGUGUAGCAGUGAAAUGCGUAGAUAUCGGGAGGAACACUCGUGGCGAAGGCGGGUUCCUGGACAUUAACUGACGCUGAGGCACGAAGGCCAGGGGAGCGAAAGGGAUUAGAUACCCCUGUAGUC